rnacentral:rRNA from 1 species
CCUACGGGUGGCAGCAGUGGGGAAUAUUGCUCAAUGGGCGAAACCCUGAUGCAGCGACGCCGCGUGAGUGAAGAAGUAACUCGUUAUGGAAAGCUCUAUCAGCAGGGAAGAAAAUGAUGGUACCUGAGUAAGAAGCCCCGUCUAACUACGUGCCAGCAGCCGCGGUAAUACGUAGGGGGCAAGCGUUAUCCGGAUUGACUGGGUGUAAAGGGGGCGUAGACGGCAGUGCAAGUCUGGAGGGAAAGGCGGGGGCUCAAACCCCGGACUGCUGUGGAAACUGGAAGGCGCGAGUGCAGGAGAGGUAAGUGGAAUGCGCAGUGUAGCGGUGAAAUGCGUAGAUAUUAGGCGGAACACCAGUGGCGAAGGCGGCUUGCUGGA